rnacentral:tRNA from 1 species
UCUGCAGUAGCUUAGUUGGUAUAGCGUCAGACUAUAAAUCGAAACAUCCUUGGUCCGAUCCUGGGUUCCAUCA